rnacentral:misc_RNA from 1 species
UGUAAUAUUACCAACUAGUUCAAACUAAUAACUUCCAAUGCAUUUUAGCGCUUAUAAUAGAAAAUUACAGAUCAAUUGCAUUCCUAGAUGUAAAGCUUAAACAGGAAAAGUAAGCUUCCCCACUUCCUUGAGACAAAACUUUCAGAAGGUUUAUUCAUAUGGAAGAGAUUAGUUUGAACUAGUUGGUAAUAUUACAUUCUACAUGGCCCCUGGCCCUGGGGUCUUGAUGCAGGACGGUUAAUGCACCUUUCAACCCUGACAGAAAAGUUCCUUGCUGAUCAAUAAUCUUAUCCAUUAAUACUUUAUCCAUCACCUCCUAUACUUGUUUGUAGAAAAGGACAUAGGCCUGGUCAUGCAACACCUUACUUGUCCCGAUUGCAGUGACAGAGGCAUCGUCAAAACGUAGCCAUUGGCCAUUGGGAUAGCGGGCAUCAGCAGUAUAAUGACCCUUCGAAGGCUCCCUCCCAUGAUGAGUGACUGUAGCAACAAGUUCAUAUUUCCGGCUCUCAGUCAAUGGAGAAACAAGUAGCUCCCGACCCAGCACCAAUUCAAGAGGAAAGUGCACAGGCUUGUGCAACUUGGUGCUACCUUGGCUUCCAUAACUAAAACGCA